rnacentral:tRNA from 1 species
GCCCAGGUGGCGGAAUUGGUAGACGCGCUGGUCUCAAACACCAGUGGGGCGACCCAUGCCGGUUCGAUCCCGGCCCUGGGUACAA